GCAGCAUCUCAGUUUCCGAAAUUUUUUACUCUUGGACCCCUCAUCUCAGCAACCAACUGUGAGAGUUAUUAUCAUUUAUCCAUGGUGGGAUUUCUAUACCUUGAAGUAGGAUGAAAGCUUUAUCUUCGGUGGGCUAGACUUGGAAAUAUGAAAAAGGAAGGUCCAUGUUUGUAGUGAUCGAGAGUUUUAUAAUAGGAUACUUGGGACAGAUAGCAUUUUCUUGUGUAAUAAUUGAGAUGGCCUUUGCAAGUACAACAGAGAGUGAAAAGGGGGGAGAUUGGCCAAGAUGUGGUAUGCAAUAUCAUAGUCAUUCAAUUCCAUCUCAGGUGCUUUUCUGCAAGCUCUGCCACUUCCCUGUCAUUGUUAUCCAUAUAUUGGGUCUCUCUAUAUAUAAUUGUACUGAAGUCAAGUGUUGGGAGCUAAGAAAUGUCUCAUGGCUGAUCGACAGGGGAAACAUCUUCUAUUUCAGGGCCAUUAUCUAAGAGCUAUUGGAUUAGUUUCUUGUAACUUGGCCAGUGUGCUCUGUUUCAUUAUAUAUGUUAUGAAUUUUGUAUGCUAAUCCUUCCUAAUGUUGGCUGCAGAUGGACCAAGUGGAUACUAGUAUUGAAUUUCUAUUUUCCAUUUGCACGUGUCAACCUCCGGAACCUCUUCUAAUCAAAGCUUCUUGUGUUUCUUGAGCUCUCUAGAUGUUAUGCAAUGCUGCUAGCCUACCAGUGAAAGUCUGAAGGAACUAUAAAUUCAUUAACUGUAAUCUUGGUGCUGUGUUCGGGCGUGCAAAAGAUAACAUGAGGACCAACAGUGUUGCACCUUCAUCAAAGGAAUUACGCAGACGCAAUGGAAACCCUUCUCUUCAGUUCACGCAGACGCGGCUAGGAGCACAGACGCACUUGAAUAUCUCCGUCUCUCUUUCCGACUGGCGUCACAUCUCUCCUUAAUCCUCUGGCCUCUCUUUCUUCUGUCCUCGUCAAUCAACAUCACGGUUCCGGGUUUGAAAUCGAAGCCUCAAUCAAGCAACGCGGCUUGGCAAUUUGAUUCAGGGUUUUCGUUGGGAUCGACAAUGGUAAGUAGUAAACUACAAAGGGAGGGCAUAUACUCAAAGGGUUGAACCAAAGCUUACUUGGUUGAGGUACAGCUGCCAAAUGAGGCAUUCUUAGAGAAUUGGGAACCUACUAAAAGCUCUUAUCUUGGGCUUUGGGAAUCCAAUCGUCCAUCGCAUCAUUCUAAGGUUCCUUUACUGUUACUGUGUAUGGUGUUUUCGUACCCCGACAUGUAUUCUAUCAUCUUCAUGCUUUGUAUGCAUAUCUGUGGUGCCUCUAUGUUGCCCUUUGCGUGCUAGUCAUGUGGCCUUCAUUUGAUGUAAUACUAGUAGAUCAGGUUUCUGUUGUCAUCCCAUUGCUGAAGCUGAAGAAGUCAGCAAAGGUAUUUACACCUGGAGAUUUGUGUUUUAAAGCUAUGAACAUCUGGAGAUUUGUGUUUUAAAGCUAUGAACUGACAAGUGGGUUUGCUGAGAAAUCAAACAUAUUUGUGUGGCUCUGAUUCCUUUCUU